GCUCAGGCCUGGAGCUCUGAGCCCUGUCCUCUGUGUAAGGAAAAGGGGCUGAGACCUGAUGCUUCCCACACUGCUCCCUGGCGUGCCAUGACACACACACCAGCAGCUCAAAGCCCAGGCCUGUGGCUACACUCUCCUGUUGGCACCAAGUCAACUGCUAAGCACGUGCUGGGUCCUUCUCUUCUGAAGAGCAGCAGUGUCAUGCCAAUCCUCUGCCCUCUUCUGCUUCCUUCUGGCUCACCCUGCCAUCUGCAUGGCUGAGGCCUUGCCAGCUGUACUCUUUUUAGUCACAAAACAUGUUCCAACCUAAGGUGUCUAAAACAGCAGUAAAAUUUUUGAAGGGAUCCUGGAAUUCCUUGCUGAGUUUCUUUUCUUCUGAAGGAAAAACCUCAAUGGAGACAAGGUGUCUGGUUACUUUUGGUAUCCAAUGAAGGCUGGAACUGUUUGUGUAAACAGCAGCUAAAGGUGCCUCUUCCUGCAGGAGCUGUUGCUUGGCGUGGGUGAAGCUGUGCUGUCCUUGGCCACAAGCCCUUGGCCCCCAUGGCCCUUGUCUGUCCCUGCCUAAGCCGGAGGCACAGGCAGUGCUGAGCUUUGAAAAGGUGACUGGCUAUAAAACCAUGACAGGAAAAGGAGGUGCUGGCAAACCUUUUGCAAGGACAAUGAUUAACUCCUGCUCCCCAACUGGUGUCUGCACUUCUAGAUUACAAUGGCUUCUUGGUUUCAAAAAAUGGCUCAGACUGACUUGCAGCUCGUGAGUGCUUUUGCAAAGCUUUGAAUUUGCUUCCUUAGCUUUUGAA